CCUACGAGAGGCUGCAGUGGGGAAUAUUGCACAAUGGGGGAAACCCUGAUGCAGCGACGCCGCGUGAGCGAGGAAGUAUUUCGGUAUGUAACGCUCUAUCAGCAGGGACGAAACAAGACGGUACCUGACUAAGAAGCCCCGGCUAACUACGUGCCAGCAGCCGCGGUAAUACGUAGGGGGCAAGCGUUAUCCGGAUUUACUGGGUGGAAAGGGAGCGUAGACGGCAAGGCAAGCCAGAAGUGAAAGGGCAGGGCUCAACCCUGUACAUGCUUUUGGAACUGGGGUGCUAGAGUGCAGGAGAGGUAAGUGGAAUUCCUAGUGUAGCGGUGAAAUGCGUAGAUAUUAGGAGGAACACCAGUGGCGAAGGCGGCUUACUGGACUGUAACUGACGUUGAGGCUCGAAAGCGUGGGGAGCAAACAGGAUUAGAUACCCUUGUAGUC
rnacentral:rRNA from 1 species